rnacentral:rRNA from 1 species
UUAAGGGAGUAAGAUGGAUACCUUGGCACUGGGAAGCGAUGAAGGACGUGGUAGUCUGCGAUAAGCCUUGGGGAGCCGUCAAACAGGCUUUGAUCCAGGGAUUUCCGAAUAGGGCAACCUAGCGGGGGUUAUGCCCCACUACUUAUAUCUGAAUCCAUAGGAUAUAAGGGCGAACCAGGGGAAUUGAAACAUCUUAGUAUCCUGAGGAAAAGAAAGCAAUAGCGAUUCCCCCAGUAGCGGCGAGCGAAAAGGGAAGAGCCUAAACCAGAUGAAUGUUAAAGCUUACAGGCAUUGUUCAUCUGGGGUUGUAGGUUUAACGAAUCCCAAGCUGUAAUGCGGGAGGAAAAUCUUUUUUUCUAGAGGAGCGAUACUGGAAAGGUCGGUCAAAGAAGGUAAUAACCCUGUACUCGAAAGAGAAAAAGAUUUUUUGCUUGUUAGACCUGAGUACCAUCGGACCCGAGAAAUCUGGUGGGAAACUGGGAGGAUCACCUCCUAAGGCUAAAUAUUCCCCAGUGACCGAUAGUGAACAAGUACCGUGAGGGAAAGGUGAAAAGAACCCCGGAAGGGAAAUGAAAUAGAACUUGAAAUCUUACUCCUACAAGCAGUGGGAGCUCGUCUUUUAUUUGGCGAGUGACCGCGUACCUUUUGCAUAAUGGGCCGGCGAGUUACUUAGAGUAGCAAGGUUAAGGGAUACAUUCCCGGAGCCGUAGCGAAAGCGAGUCCUAACUGGGCGUUAAGUUGCUCUAAGUAGACCCGAAACCAGGUGAUUUACCCAAGACCAGGAUGAAGUACACUUGACCGUGUAUGGAGGUCCGAACGCACCUACGUUGAAAAGUGGGGCGAUGAGUUUUGGGUAGGGGCGAAAGACUAAUCAAACCUGGCGAUAGCUGGUUCUCCCCGAAAUAGCUUUAGGGCUAGCCUUGUGUAUGGGUGACUGGGGUAGAGCACUGAAUGACAGAGGAACCCUCGUGGUUUCUUUGAUCAACCAAACUCCGAAUACAGUCAUCUCAAUCACAGGAGUCAGACUAUGGGGGAUAAGCUUCAUGGUCGAGAGGGAAACAGCCCAGACCGCCAGUUAAGGUCUCUAAUACAGACUAAGUGGGAAAGGAUGUGAGAGCACUUAGAUAGCCAGGAGGUUGGCUUAGAAGCAGCCAUCCUUUAAAGAAUGCGUAACAGCUCACUGGGUUAGUGGUUUUGCGCCAAAAAUUUAAGGAGGCUUAAGUCUGUUACCAAAACUGCGGAAGCAAGACAUCUUGUAGUUAGGAGUUGUUAGUUACUUAGGUUUUUUCUGGGUAGCUAACAACCGAUUGUUAAUAACUGCAGGGCAAAGCCUUGCUUGGUAGGGGAGCAUUCCAUUGUAGGUUGAAGGGGAACCGUAAGGUACCUGGACGAAAUGGAAGAGAUGAUGCCGGCAUAAGUACACGAGACAAGGAAGAGUAAACCUUGCGCCGAAAGUCUAAGGUUUCCUGGGGAAGGCUAAUCCGCCCAGGGUAAGUCGGUCCUAAGCUGAGGCCGAAAGGCGUAGGCAAUGGAUAGCCGGGUAGAAAAUUCCGGCACCACCUUGGGUACUGUUAAACUGAUGGGGGGACGCAGAAGGAUAUGUCCGCCUGGAGUUGAAUUUCCAGGUCCAAGCAGUAUAGGAAAGAGUUCAGGCAAAUCCGAAUUCUUAUUGAUCCAAACUGUUAUGGGGACUCCCAUUUAAGCGGAGGAAGGGAUUGAUUCCAUCUGCCAAGAAAAGCCUCUAAGUGAUGUACUCAGGUGACCGUACCGCAAACUGACACAGGUAGACUGGCUGAGAAUGCUAAGGCGUUCGAGAGAACCCUCGUUAAGGAACUCGGCAAAUUGGCCCCGUAACUUCGGGAGAAGGGGUGCCUCAUUAGUGUUGUAUUAGAUUGCUUGCAAUCUGAGAAGCGCGAAGAGGUUGCAAUAAAGAGGCCCAAGCGACUGUUUACUAAAAACACAAGUCUCUGCUAACCCAAAAGGGGAUGUAUAGGGACUGAAGUCUGAUCAGUGCUGGAAGGUUAAGGUAAGAGGUGUAAGCUUCGAACUGAAGCCCCAGUUAACAUCGGCUCUAACUAUAAGAGUCCUAAGGUAGCGAAACUCCUUGUCGGGUAAGUUCCGACCCGCAUGAAUGACGCAACGACUUGGGCACUGUCUCAACGAGGGACUCGGUGAAAUUGUAGUAUCGGUGAAGAUACCGAUUAUCCAUGGCAGGACGAGAAGACCCCGGAACCUUUACUGUAGCCUGGCAUUGGAUUCUGAUAUGGUUUGUAUAGAAUAGGUGGGAGGCUAAGAAAGGGGAGCGCUAGUUCCCCUGGAGCCAUCAGUGGAAUACCACCCUUGCCAUGUUGUAAUUCUAACCUGCAUCCGUUAUCCGGAUGAGGGACAGUGCUUGGUGGGCAGUUUGACUGGGGCGGUUGCCUCCUAAAGAGUAACGGAGGCGUCCGAAGGUUCCCUCAGCGCGUAUAGAAAUCGCGUGUAGAGUAUAAAGGUAUAAGGGAGCUUAACUGCGAGAGAGACAUCUCAAGCAGAUGCGAAAGCAGGGCUUAGUGAUCCUGCGGUUCUGAGUGAAAGGGCCGUGGCUUAACGGCUAAAAGGUACUCCGGGGAUAACAGGCUUAUCUCCUCCGAGAGUUCCCAUCGACGAGGAGGUUUGGCACCUCGAUGUCGGCUCGCCGCAUCCUGGGGCGGUAGCCCGUCCCAAGGGUUAGUCUGUUCGCCUAUUAAAGCGGUACGCGAGCUGGGUUUAAACCGUCGCAAGACAGGUUGGUCUUUAUCCGCCAUGGACGAAAGAGAUUUGAGGGGCGCUGUCCUUAGUACGAGAGGACCAGGAUGGACGGACCUCUAGUGUACCAGUUGUCACGUCAGUGGCAUCGCUGGGUAGCUAUGUCCGGAUGGGAUAACCACUGAAAGCAUCUAAGUGGGAAGCCCACCCCAAGAUAAGAUCUCUCACUCUGUAAAGAGGUAAGGUUCCUGGAAGACUACCAGGUUGAUAGGCCAGUGGUGUAAGCGUGGUAACAUGUUUAGCUUACUGGUACUAAUAAACCGAGGAUUUGAUGA